rnacentral:tRNA from 1 species
CGCGGGAUGGAGCAGUCUGGUAGCUNNAGCUCGUCGGGCUCAUAACCCGAAGGUCGUCGGUUCAAAUCCGGCUCCCGCAACCA